rnacentral:lncRNA from 1 species
AAUUCCAAGAAAUCCAGUCUUCAGAAAUAUUGCCUCCCACUGUCAGUCUCACUUGUAUUUGAAAAUCCAAUACCAUUCGCUUCGGUUCUAGCCACUUCGAAAAUGAAAACCAGUGCUGUUUAGACACAAGCCAGAGGAACCGUUGAGCUUCCUGUUUCGAGUUCCUGAAAAUUCAGAAAACAUGUAUAAUGUCAGCAGAAUGAAUUUCGAGUUCCUGAAAAAUCAGAAAACACGUAUAAUGUCAUCAGAAUGAAAAGCUCCUUUGUUCUAAAGGUAAUUAUUAAGAUGUUAAAAGUAUGCAUUGACUACCUCUAACAUUUCUAGAUCUCAUAUCAAGAUAACUUGUAGUUUUUCAAUGCAUCAUUAUGCACCAAAACAUAUAGUUUCUACGGCUUCAAAUUUGCGUCAUAUCAUGCACAAAAUUUCCAGCUAUAUCUCUCAAACUAUAUUUUUAUGCCGUUCAGAGCAUCUUUAUGGGAGUACUAUACUUAAAAACCUCCCAUACAAUGGUGGUUAUUGACUUAAUUCAAUCAAAUGAAUCAUAAGAUUUGCAAAUCUAGUAUAACAAGAUUUCAUUAGUAAAUGGAUGAAAACCAUCAAAGUUUUAUGCAGAAAAGCAAAUCAGAAACAUUCAAUAAAAAACCUAAACCACAAAAGUAAGAAAACAAGUUGAAAAUCACUAACUGCUGCAUGAAAGGAAGGUUGCCCUGAGGAAAGCUGUACCUGGCACAUUUGAGAGACUUCUGAAAUAUUACGGACUGGAAGUCUUAAAUUGCGCUGAUCCUGUUGCUGCAGAUCUAACUUUUCCAAUUUCUUUUCAUAAAGUGCAAAUUCCUCAGGCUUCUCCCACUGGUUGCAAGUUUUCAGGCAUCCACGUAUUAUGAGGGGCA